AGUGAACGCUGGCGGUAGGCCUAACACAUGCAAGUCGAACGGCAGCACAGUAAGAGCUUGCUCUUACGGGUGGCGAGUGGCGGACGGGUGAGGAAUACAUCGGAAUCUACUUUUUCGUGGGGGAUAACGUAGGGAAACUUACGCUAAUACCGCAUACGACCUACGGGUGAAAGCAGGGGAUCUUCGGACCUUGCGCGAUUGAAUGAGCCGAUGUCGGAUUAGCUAGUUGGCGGGGUAAAGGCCCACCAAGGCGACGAUCCGCAGCUGGUCUGAGAGGAUGAUCAGCCACACUGGAACUGAGACACGGUCCAGACUCCUACGGGAGGCAGCAGUGGGGAAUAUUGGACAAUGGGCGCAAGCCUGACCCAGCCAUACCGCGUGGGUGAAGAAGGCCUUCGGGUUGUAAAGCCCUUUUGUUGGGAAAGAAAAGCAGCAGGUUAAUACCCCGCUGUUCUGACGGUACCCAAAGAAUGAGCACCGGCUAACUUCGUG
rnacentral:rRNA from 1 species